CUUUCAAUUACUAUGUGAGAAGAUAAUGGAGAUAAAUCUUCCUGUAAAGGCUCUGGUGGUGGAAGGAUGUGCAGGAGGGCAAGACUAGGACGAGAGUUCUGUCUCCCUCUUUUGUGGCAUGGAUGGACCUCAUUGGGAUGUUCUUUUUCUCCUGCUGAAAACUUCUGCCAGCACCAGGGUAUAGACAGUCGUCUGCAUGACUGUCAGUGCUGUGAUGGAUUGGAGCAGGCUGGGAAGGCAGCAAGAGGGUGGGGAACAAGGAUGGCAAGAAUGGUCUCCAACACCGUUACCACCCCGAGCUUCUAGUUCCUCUUCUGUCCCAAAAGCCAAGACAGCAUCAGCAGACUGCUCCAGCAACCCAGUGCAGCAGCCCAGGGUGCAGCACGAGAACCCAGACUGUAGCCCAGCGCAGUCCCAGGGGGCUACUGAGAUCUCCACAGCAAAGAUAGAUAAAUACUGUCUAAAUGUGUUUUGUUUUCGUUUGUUACUAUUUCCUGACCUAAGAAUGUAUGAUUACAGUCUUGGACAACCAGUACAUGACUGUGAACAAAUCCACAAGUUAGGAAGAAGUUUCUGUUUUGUGUGCCUAAACUGUAAACAUAGCAUAUAUGCAUUAUAUAUUGCAAGUGGGAAUAGAGGUAUCUGCAUAUACGUGUGUGUGUAUCAAUGUUACGAUUCCCUUUGUUGAUGAAGCACAAAUUUGGGCUCUUCUAGAAUUCUGGGCCUGAUACUUGGAUAUUUUAGCUUUAGUUCACUGUAUUCCUGCAGCACCGGAUACUCUCCAAUGCAAGCAAUGUGAUACUAAACCUUUUUCAGAGGGCAAGAUCCUGAAGAUUUGCUAUGCCCUUUCCUGACACUAGGAUCAACUCACGUAGCUGAAUCUGGCAUUCAUAUAGAUUUCAAUGUCUCUGUGGGAACUGCAUGUGCUCUUUUUAUUUUAUGCUGAGAUUCCACUAAAUUGUUCUUUGGAUUUAUUUCAAAGAAGGAGAAGGGAGAAAAAGGCAGUAAAGAUUGCUCUUCUUAUGCUUUUAGUUGUUUUUUUAACUCAAUUAUAUUUUGACAAUUCUGUAUGAAACUUUGGAGUAUGUCUUUGUUUAAGCAGUAUACCUUCCAUAGGAAUAGUCAGUUAAAUGCAUAUGGCUAGUUUCAGGCAUAACAAGCUUUGACAAGGGCAUUUAGCGGUUGUAAUUCAAAUCUAAUUCAGAACAUCUUAGCACUGGACCUGUCAAGCACUUGAAAUGCACUGUAGCUGCAAAACGAAGGGAUAUGGUCCCAGUCGUGCUCUGUGUGGCAUCAAGCUGAUGUGUCAACAAGAGCAGUUACAAUUACAGGUUCUUUCAAGCAUACUAAACUAAUUUACAGUACUCCUGAAAUUGUGGGAAAAGGCCUUGUUGGCAUGAAGGUACACAGGACUUUCAUACUGCAGAGACGAGGCAGGUGACAAGAGGGUUUCACUCAGGAGUUUCAGUAUUGCACAGUUUCAGUGCCACCUUUGGAGUCGGGGGAGGGUUUGUUAGAUUUGUAACUAGAUAUUUUGUGGAUAAUAAUAGAUUUGCCUUGCAGCCAUCAAAUACCCUUGUCAAAUCCCAUUAGAAUCACAUUGCACACUUGUUUGAAACCUCAAUCUAAAAUGCACCCAUUUGCUAAGUGAGGAUGGGGUCCUAAUUGCACUGGCAGUGACUGGUCCUUUUUGUUCGUCUAUUUUGCGUAAUAAACAGCACUGAGCCUGGCUGCAAAACGUCUCCACUGCUUCUUCUUCCAUGGAUUAGAAAGCUUAGCGUACAGGGAGAGGUCUCUCCAGAAGCAGAUCUGAUCCAAGGAUGUCCCACAAAAAAACAAGACAGAAUUACAGUAACUAACAUGUAAUUUUAACAUCAAGAUAUAAAAAGACUUGAUUUUAAAGUGCGCCAGUGAUUUAAAGCAGCUGCACACGUUUAGAGGGCAUUGCUUUAAUGUGCUCACAAAGGCUAAUGGAAGCUU
ensembl:lncRNA